rnacentral:rRNA from 1 species
UACGGGGGGGGCAAGCGUUGUUCGGAAUUACUGGGCGUAAAGGGCUCGUAGGCGGCCAACUAAGUCAGACGUGAAAUCCCUCGGCUUAACCGGGGAACUGCGUCCGAUACUGGUUGGCUUGAGUUUGGGAGAGGGAUGCGGAAUUCCAGGUGUAGCGGUGAAAUGCGUAGAUAUCGGAAGGAACAUCAGUGGCGAAAGCGACUUCCUGGACCAGUACCGACGUUCAGGCACGAAAGCGUGGGGAGCAAACAGG